UGUGUGACGCGAUCUACGAUAGCAGAACAAACAUGCAGUCUGCAGAAUGUUUCAAACCUAUCGGGUCGGGAAUGCGGUGAAUAUGCGGCCCGAAUUUGAGUUCUGCGGUCGCAGAAUGCACCGCAGAACUGACCUUCGAAUUUCCUCAGGGACAAUAUGCGAUCACUAUGCGGUCCGCAUAUUGAUUAUGUGAUCGCAUAUUUGACCGCAUUUUCAUCACCAAAAAUUCGUUGCUCUCUAAUUCACUCUACGGUAGGAAUGCGGUCCGCGUGGAUGAUCUACGACCGCAUUCUUGACCGCAUUUUGACCAUUUUCUAGAAAAAUUCCAGUUUUACAUUUUUAAGUUCAAAACAGUAAAAAGGAUCCGAUCCAUGUAGGUAGACUCGACUCUAUGAGUUGCUAACAUCUGAGCACUCAUUUUCACGGGGCCUUACAUAAAUUUCCCACCACAUCUUGUUCAGACUGAUGCAGCAUUUAGGGAGCACUUUUCACCAUUUUAUUUUUUUAUGUUUAGUUUCAUUGGGG
rnacentral:lncRNA from 1 species